ACCGUUUCUCAGCCUUUUGGCUAAGAUUAAGUGUAGUAUUUAUUCUUAUCAGUUUAAUCUGAUAUGUCCUCUAUCUGAGGGCAAUAUAUUAAGUAGAUUUUUGGAGCAGGAAGAUGGAAUAGUAGCUUGCUUCAUACACUCUAAGUAUCAACCUGGUGUUCAGUACUUCCAGAAAAGACGCACCCCCU